CGGAUUGAGUCUGCCACACAGCUUCUAAAUCAUACAAGGAAGAGCUUAAAGGCUAUAAAUGGGCGCUGCUCAAUGACCUUCACCUACUGCGUCACGUGGACGAGGACGAGGAAUGGCGGGUGACAAUGUCCAGACAACUCGGGCAACUGGUUCAGCGACGUUUGUACGAUCUGCAGAAUCCACACAACUGCACGACAGCAAAACUGUCGUCUGCAACUUGGACAGAAAAGAUGGCUUCUGAGCAUGUUGCACGAGGCGACG